CCUCUUCCCCGGCCCGGCCGGGCGGGACCAGUGCGCAGCCGGGGCUGGCGGGCGGCAGGGUCCGCGGGGCCGCAGGAGAUGACGGCCGGCGGCCAGGCCGAGGCCGAGGGCGCUGGCGGGGAGCCCGGCGCGGCGCGGCUGCCCUCGCGGGUGGCCCGGCUGCUGUCGGCGCUCUUCUACGGGACCUGCUCCUUCCUCAUCGUGCUUGUCAACAAGGCGCUGCUGACCACCUACGGUUUCCCGUCACCAAUUUUCCUUGGAAUUGGACAGAUGGCAGCCACCAUAAUGAUACUAUAUGUGUCCAAGCUAAACAAAAUCAUUCACUUCCCUGAUUUUGAUAAGAAAAUUCCUGUAAAGCUGUUUCCUCUGCCUCUCCUCUACGUUGGAAACCACAUAAGUGGAUUAUCAAGCACAAGUAAAUUAAGCCUACCGAUGUUCACCGUGCUCAGGAAAUUCACCAUUCCACUUACCUUACUUCUGGAAACCAUCAUACUUGGGAAGCAGUAUUCACUCAACAUCAUCCUCAGUGUCUUUGCCAUUAUUCUCGGGGCUUUCAUAGCAGCUGGGUCUGACCUUGCUUUUAACUUAGAAGGCUAUAUUUUUGUAUUCCUGAAUGAUAUCUUCACAGCAGCAAAUGGAGUUUAUACCAAACAGAAAAUGGACCCAAAGGAGCUAGGGAAAUACGGAGUACUUUUCUACAAUGCCUGCUUCAUGAUUAUCCCAACUCUUAUUAUUAGUGUCUCCACUGGAGACCUGCAACAGGCUACCGAAUUCAACCAAUGGAAGAAUGUUCUGUUUAUCCUACAGUUUCUUCUUUCCUGUUUUUUGGGGUUUCUGCUGAUGUACUCCACGGUUCUGUGCAGCUAUUACAAUUCAGCCCUGACGACAGCAGUGGUUGGAGCCAUCAAGAAUGUAUCCGUUGCCUACAUUGGGAUAUUAAUCGGUGGAGACUACAUUUUCUCUUUGUUAAACUUUGUAGGGUUAAAUAUUUGCAUGGCAGGGGGCUUGAGAUAUUCCUUUUUAACACUGAGCAGCCAGUUAAAACCUAAACCUGUGGGUGAAGAAAACAUCUGUUUGGAUUUGAAGAGCUAAAGAGUCUGCAGCAGGAUUGGAGACUGACUUGUGACUGCGGGCUGGGGGGGCAUUCCCAGUAGGAAUGUGAAGCCAGAGGUUUCAGAUUCGUGACAUCCACCCCCUGGGCAAGUGAGAGCAUCUGCAAAAUGCAAAGAGAACUACCUCAUAUGCAGGAUGAGCCAAUGGCAGUCUCAAGAAAUGUACUUGGGUGACACCUUACCUGUGGAAAGCAAAUCUUUUCAAAAUAAGCCACUGGGACUCGGUUUGUUCAGGAGCUUUUACCACAGGUGCAUUUCCUCACAUGCUCACCUACCGCCAACCCCUGGUGUAUGGGAAGGAGGCCCGAAUGGAUAGGGUGCCUUUUCCCUCCCUGCGUGGGAAUGGGUGUCCCCACUGGAACUGGAGUGCGGGAUAGAGCCACGGUCUGGGAGUCAGGAGCCAGACUAACUAAACUUGUCUCUACUAUUAAACUCGGGAGACCUUUCCCAAGUCACUUUGCCCGUCGUGGCCUCUAGUAUUUUAAUCUGUAAAAUUCAACUGGAUCUCUAAAUCCUUGCAAGCUGCAACUUUCUGAGUUUCGAGAAGCUCAGCCAGAUCUGGAGCAGGCCAGCACAGGAAGGAAUCGUGUGGAUUUUUAUGUGGCUGGGUGCGGCGGUUCACGCCUGUAAUCCCAACACUUUGGGAGGCUGAGGUGGGAAAAUCGCUUGAGCCUAGGAGUUUGAGGCCAGCCUGGGUAACAUGGCCGAAACAUCAUCUCUACAAAAAAAAUUAGCCAGGCAUGGUGGCGCACACCUCUGAUCCCAGCUACUGGAGAGGCUGAGGUGGGAGGAUUGCUUGAGCCUGGGAGGUUGAGGCUGCAGUGAGCUGUGGUCACGCCACUACACUCCAGCCUCAGUGACAUGGUGAGACCCUGUCUCAAAAAAAACUUUUUUUUAAAUUGUGGUAAAAUACAUAACAGACUUUACCAUCCUAACCAUUUUUAAGUGUAUACAGUCCAGUAGGAGUAACCAUACUGAUUGUGCAACCUACCUCUAGAACUUUUUCAUCUUGCAAAACCGAAACUCUGUACCCAUGAAACAAGAACUCCCAUUUCCCCAUCCCUCUGGCCCCUGGCAACCCCCAUUCUACUCUCUUUGUGAGUUUGACUAUUCAAGAUACCUUAUAUAAGUAGAAUCAUAUAGUUUUUGUGACAGGUUUAUUCACUUAGCAUCAUAUCACCGAGGUUCAUCCAUGUUGUAGCAUGCAGAGCGUCCUUCCUUACGUCUGAAUGUGUGGUGUGGAUUUGCCGCAUUCUGUUUAUCCAGUCAUCUGCUGAUGGACACUCGGCUUGCUUCCACCAUUUGGCUAUUAUGAACAAUGCUGCUAUUAAUAUGGGUGUUCAAAUAUGUCUUCAAGGCUCUGCUUUCAAUUUUUUUAGAUAUAUGCCUAGAAGUGGAAUAGCUGGAUCCUGUGGUCUAUUUUUAGGUUUUUGAGGACCUGCUAUGCUGUUUUCUAUAGUGGCUGCACCAUUUUACAUUCCCGCCAUCAAGGGUUCCAAUUUCUCCACAACCUCAAUAACAUUUGUUAUUUUCUGUUUCAUUUUUACUAGUAGCCAUCAUAAUGGAUGUUUAAAAAAAUAAUUUAUUUUUAUUUUAUUUUGUUUUUAGAGAUGGGAUCUCACUAUGUUGCCCAGGAUGGUCUGCAACUCCUGGGCACAAAUGAUCCUCCUGCCUCAGCCUCUGGAGUAGCUGAGACUACAGGCUCACCUGCCUGGCUGUGUUUUGGUUUUGAUUUGUAUUUCCCUAAUUAAUCGAUUAGUGGUGUUGAGCAUUUUUUCAUGUACUUGUUGGCCAUUUAUUUAUCUUCUUAAAUAAAUGUCUAUUCAAGUCCAUUGCCCA